UAAUCCCAGCUCUUGGGAGGCUGUAAACAGGAGAAUCACAAUGAGUCUGAUCUAGUAGUGAGACCCUGAACACCUUGUAGACCCUUCCCUAAAAAACA